rnacentral:lncRNA from 1 species
UGAGAAGUAAAAGUUUAGGGAGAAAAUAAAAUGUUUUGGGGAAUAAAAGUUUGAGAGAAAGUAAAUAGGGGGAAUAAAAUUUUGGAGGGAAAAUAUUAAAAAAAAUGGAGGGGGGAGGGUUUGGGGUAGAUGAGAGGUGGGAUGAGAAGGGAAUAAAAGUUUUAGGGGAAAAGUGGGAGAGAGUAAAAAUUUGGGGGGAAAAUAAAAGGUUUUGAGGGUUUUUGGGAGUAAAAUUUUGAGAAAAGGUAAAUGGGAGAGUAAAAUUUUGGUGGGAAAUGGAUUUUGGGUAGAUUGGAGGGUUGGGAGGGGAGGGG